rnacentral:lncRNA from 1 species
CCCUCACAGCCACCGAGGGCCAGCCUGCUCACCCCUCACAGCCACCGAGGGCCAGCCAGCUCACCCCUCACAGCCACCGAGGGCCAGCCAGCUCACCCCUCACAGCCACCGAGGGCCAGCCUGCUCACCCCUCACAGCCACCGAGGGCCAGCCUGCUCACCCCUCACAGCCACCGAGGGCCAGCCUGCUCACCCCUCACAGCCACCGAGGGCCAGCCAGCUCACCCGUCACAGCCACCGAGGGACUAAACAGUUGAGAGAUCAGUGAAGAGAAAUGAUGGAGCAGAGGGGUAGCUAUAGCUACGAGCCAUGGUGUGUGUGUGUGUGUGUGUGUGUGUAUGUGUGUGUGUCACGCCGUGGGGCUCGGAGAGACAUACUAUUCUCCUCUUCACUGACUAAUUGGCACACACAGGAAGAGGCCAACCCCUGGUCCAUUGGUUAAUUUAGGAACCUGGGACUCAUUCAGGCCUACUAAUCUAAUGACAUUACUAUGCGUUACUGACUGACUGACUGACUCGUGCUACACACUAACCUGGUACUCUUCCUUUCAGCUCUGGCCUGGUAGGCCUCCUACUCAGUGUGACAUAGCUACUAGAUAUAAAAAGUCCAAACUCCAUGACCCUCUCCCUCUGGGUAAUUUUUAGGAUAUUCAUGGCCUCGGCUUCACUUUGCCUGUUCUGACAGGGCUUGUGCACAAAAAUAACCCCGACAGGCAGGCAGUAAGAAAAGGCAGGUAGUAAGAAAAGGCAGGCAGUAAGCAAGGCAGGCAGGCAGUGAGAAAAGGCAGGCAGUGAGAAAAGGCAGGCAGUGAGAAAAGGCAGGCAGUGAGAAAAGGCAGGCAGUAAGAAAAGGCAGGCAGUAAGAAAAGGCAGGCAGUAAGAAAAGGCAGGCAGUAAGAAAAGGCAGGCAGUAAGAAAAGGCAGGCAGUAAGACAGGCAGGCAGUAAGACAGGCAGGCAGUAAGACAGGCAGGCAGUAAGAAAAGGCAGGCAGUAAGAAAAGGCAGGCAGUAAGAAAAGGCAGGCAGUAAGAAAAGGCUCACCACCAAGUAGCAGCAGGACAUCCCACUGUUCCAGGAUAAUCUGAUCAUUUCCUCUGAGAGCCCUGUUGGGAUUAACCAGGGCUGGAGCCCUAGACACUGACUGAUCUGAGGUAAUUAUUUUACAUUCCUCCAUAGUGGUUCGGUUUAGGCUACGGGUAGGGUAAACUGGUCCUAGAUCAGUGACUAAAGGCUAGUGUGUAGGGGGGGG